UGUGUGUACGUGUGUACGCGCGCUAACUGGAAAAAAUAGGCGAAGUACAAAGUAUUUUUCGUGAACACAUGCCAGAGUCUCCAUUUUUUGCAGGCUUUGGAAGUAGCCUCACUAGAGCUGAUGAGGAGAAUUGCACAGAAAAGGGAAAAUAACAAAGUCAUUGUUAAGUCCCUGUCAUCAUGGACGUUGAAGUCAAUGACCUGGAUUUUUAGGAGCAGUUAAACAGCGGGAAAAAAAAAUCAGAGAUUUCAAAGUACUUACAUUAAAUUUAGUAUGUUUGUUGGGGGGGGUGCUAAUUAAUGGAUCCAAAAAUUGAUAUAUUGAGCUUGCCUUUUUUCAAUGACAUAGAAUAGGACAAAACUAUGAGACGUUACACUUAGCACGAGUAAAUACGCUGUAUAAACCUUUUGCUUCAGUUAAAUAUGUAGAUGUGUGUGCACUGGUCAACCAUGUAAUGUGUAUUUUCAUGCUGUCCCUUGAGGUAAAAGCUUGAAAGGCACUGAUGUAGUGCAGCCUGCCGCCCAGGGUCAGCGUUUGAAGGAGAACUUAGGUUCCUUCCCAGUGGUUCUGGGCUCCUGGUCAGCUCCAGUGAAUUACAGAGACCAAGGAAGAGGAUGAAGAAGAGAGAAGAAUGACCAGUGUCUGAGUUCUGUAUUCAUUCUUUCCGCAAAUGUGCUUGAGCAGUUUCUGCGCUUGGGCCGGUGCUGAAAUCUGGGAGUUCAGUGGUGACAAAGUCAACAUGCCGUCUUGGCACUUUCGAAUCCGGUGGGGACAGCAGACAUCAAACCAAUAAACAUAAAAGUAGCUGGCUAUGCGAUAAAUGCUGUGAAGGAAAAUAUGAGACCCAAAAUGAUGGCAUCAUCAUUUAGAGGUGGGAGGCCACGAUGAAUAAUUAACCCAGUUUAAAGUGUCUUCAAUGAUAAGGAGAUGUGCUGUUUCAUACACAGAAGUCCCAAGGUCAAGAAGCUCUCUCUGGACUGCAUUCUUUGUGGAGUGGAGACCGGCUCCCUAAACAGAAAGGAGGAGUUAAUGGAUGUUGGGUGCCAAUGGAGAGCCUGCUGCAGAAGCUCUGGGAUGACGCCUCUGAAAAAAAAUGGCAUUUAAACUUAAGAUGAGUGAGGGUCAGCAAGGAGCAAGGAGGAUGUACCUUCAGGCAGAGAGAGCCACGUGUGUGGCCUGUCUGUGCCCCGGGUUACAAGAUGUUCGUGCCAUUUCUCAUUUACUGCAUUGACCCCAAAAGGGAUCAGCGGAGAGGGAUGUGGCACGCGAGAAGCCACUGUCCCCUGGGAAAGAAGGGAGAAUGGUGCUCUCAACGCUGGGCCUGAAGGAUUGUGUGAGACACAGCGGUCUCAGCAGUCCCGCCUGCCGUCCCCAUGGUUGUAAAGCCCAGGUGAACUCUGUCAGCAACCUCAGCCUCCUCUGGAGGGAGGACCAGCGCACACGGCCUCCGUGACACCCACUGUAGAGGGAGCUUCAGUGGUUGCAGCUCCCAGGUCCGACCUGACUGGACCCACAGAGCUCUGGCUUCCCUCGCUGCUUCCUGGGGGGCCUGAAACACAUCCUAGAGAGACAGUGGCGCUAAUGUCCUGUGGAAGUGCCUCUGACCAUUGAGAGCCAGGAGCCAGGAGCCAGGAAGAAGCCAGCAGAUGAUUGCUCUCCCUUCCUGCCCACCCAGGAGCUGUUCCGAGAUCCAAGGAUAACAGGCCUUAAUUAAGAAGUAGCGCGUGAGCUUGGCCUCAGGCUGCUUUCUGGAGAACCCAGGCGACGGUGAGACCUUCUGACCCUUUACCUUCCAUCCUUCAGUCUGCUGCGCGCUGUUACUUCGCUUCAGGUUCCUGGGGAAGCAGUGCGGCCUCAGCGAGGGAGGAGUUUCAGGAGGGUGAGGUUAUCUUUCGGGAACUCCAAUGGCAGGGAUCACGCGAUCACCUCAAACUCAGGUGUCGUGCUUUCCGGUCGAUGCCUGUGCCAAAAGUUCGUUCUUCAAGACGAGUUCUUGUCCAAGUUACAUGGCCUAUUUUCUAAAAAAUCAAAUCAAGCACACUUCACAGCACCCUCACGGGUAGAACGCGUGGCUUAUUUAUUUUUAUGUGGUAUGUUCAUCUCUCAAUACCUGUGUUUUCACCAGAGUAAACUCAGUCUUGUGAAGUUAAAUUUCAUGCAUGUCAUAAAUGUUUCCCCAUCUGAGCAAAUAUUGAAAUGAGCAAUUCUGCUCUUUGACAGAGAGUGUUAAAUGUGUUUGGUCAUCAAAUUCGACUUAGUAUUCCCCAAGGUAUCCUAAUGUUUCUGGCAGUAUCUCAAAGCUCUCACGAAUCUCCCAGCCAACUAUUGCUUUGAAGGGCAGUUUCUUCACUUAGCAGGAAGUUUUUCUAGUUAAUUCACCUUACUUAGAGUUCCAUAGUUCCCUCUUUUAAUAUUUCCUACAUGUUUAAGCACAGCUAAAAAAGUGACUAAGAAACGUUUUAAAAGUUGUACUUGGUUAAGAAGCCUUGCAACUCUCAUGCUGGGGAACUGAUAAUUUGUGAUUCUAAUUUUAACUGGAUUAAUCUCAUUCAGAGUCUUUCUAUGCAUAUUACACAUCUUAGUGCCCAACUUCAUGAGGGAUUUAGCAACUGCUAUAUGUGGAAAAUGCUGAGAAUUGAGAUGCUUUUGCUGUUGAAGAAACAUUGCUCAUGUUCCAAAAUGCAGUUGAAACCCAAGUCAAUGUUAUAUGCAAUUUCAUUUUUAUUUUGAAAAUAUUGUUGCAGAAACAUAGUUUCUUUGGGAUUCUUUACCCCAAAUCACGGACACUGCUACUCUCAAAAGCAGUACGGUUUCUCGCUCUGCUGAGGGCCAGUCACGGUUCAGCUUCGGAGUGUCACCACGUUCCCCUUGGGGCUGUCUGGGGACACGGCUGGUUUGCCUCCCCUUGCUGGUUACACCACUUUCCUUUCUGCAUUGGUUUUCACUGGGCGCCUGCCAUUUCUGAUGUUCCAGGAAGUCUGCUGCUUCUACCUGACUCUAAUUCAAUUUGUUAAUAUACAACAUUGAUCUGGUUUAUGGACACAGAGAGCAUCCUGUGUAAUUUCAUCUAUGUUUGCCAAAAAGUGACUGUACCAGAUAAGAGCCUUACCAUCAACCUCAGGCUGCCCAGAAAUCCUUUUGUGCUCUUCCCUUUCAUUUUAAUAGUCUGUAGCUGGGGAAUGUUGGUUGGGCAUAUAAUCAUCACUUCUGUGGCGGGGGCCCUGUUUCUGUCUUUCAUCUCUGGUAGUGUAAUAGCCACUCUACUUCUUUUUU